rnacentral:rRNA from 1 species
UACGGAGGGGGCAAGCGUUGUUCGGAAUUACUGGGCGUAAAGGGCGCGCAGGCGGCUGCUCAAGUCAGGCGUGAAAGGCCUGGGCUCAACCCGGGAAUUGCGCUUGAGACUGGGCUGGCUUGAGUGCGGGAGAGGAUGGUGGAAUUCUCGGUGUAGAGGUGAAAUUCGUAGAUAUCGGGAGGAACACCAGUGGCGAAGGCGGCGACCUGGGCCAAUACUGACGCUGAGGUGCGAAAGCGUGGGGAGCAAACAGG